AGAGUUUGAUCAUGGCUCAGGACGAACGCUGGCGGCGUGCCUAACACAUGCAAGUCGAACGGUCUCAGCUGGUCAGCUUGCUGACCGGCUGAGAUAGUGGCGGACGGGUGAGUAACGCGUGAGCAACCUGGCUCGAAGAGUGGAAUAACGUAGGGAAACCUGCACUAAUACCGCAUAACAUACGGGUAUCGCAUGGUACCUGUAUCAAAGGAGAAAUCCGCUUUGAGAUGGGCUCGCGUCCGAUUAGAUAGUUGGCGGGGUAACGGCCCACCAAGUCUGCGAUCGGUAGCCGGACUGAGAGGUUGAACGGCCACAUUGGGACUGAGAUACGGCCCAGACUCCUACGGGAGGCAGCAGUGGGGGAUAUUAGACAAUGGGGGAAACCCUGAUCUAGCAACGCCGCGUGAAGGAUGAAGGUUUUCGGAUUGUAAACUUCUUUGACGAGGGAAGAUAAUGACGGUACCUCGAGAACAAGCCACGGCUAACUACGUGCCAGCAGCCGCGGUAAUACGUAGGUGGCGAGCGUUGUCCGGAUUUACUGGGUGUAAAGGGCGUG
rnacentral:rRNA from 1 species